rnacentral:lncRNA from 1 species
AAAAAAAAAAAAAAAAAAAAAGCCACAAUAGUUGGAGGAGAGAGUGGGUUAUCUGUAAUGGUGUGAGGGAAGCAAGGUACCAGGAACACAGAGGUCAGGAGCAUGCCCAAGGCCUCUGACUGGUCAAGGCUUCUGUCCCGAGUCUCAGCUCCACUCUCUUCUCAAAUGUUGCAGAAUGUCUGUGAGUGUUCAUGUUUUUAAGACAGGUUGAUUUGGUUGUGCUCAUUAAGCAACAUCGGCCUGAUGACCCACUCCCUCUGCUGUUUUAGAACAGUCAGUGAUGAUUGCAGAGAAGUUGACUCAUCCAUCUUGUCCAGGAGACCUAAGAGAAAAGUUUUCUAGAGUCUCAGUGAGCCUUCCUCGACAGCGUUGUCUAUGUCCUGAUUCCCAUGUCUCUCUAAGACUUCGCAUCCUCUUUAAGUCUUCUAUCAAGAACACCUGUGUUAGCCUCCAGGAGGCUGAAUAGCUUUUCAAAAAUCUAGUUGAAAGGCACACACAUUCACUCAAUAAGUACUUUCUGAGAGUACCGCUGAAGUACUUGGUCACAGACUUAAGGAGCCCUUCCUCUGCCACACUGAUUGAGCCACAUUUUGCUGUGGUCAUCUCCAGACUCUGCUUACAUCUCAGGCAAGUGAACGGUUAGACCCGUGAGCCUUGGCCUCUCAUGAGUAAUGGCAGAUGCAUGCAUGGGUGAUGACAAUAAAUGUUGUUUCGAUGCUUCCCUUGUCCCGGUGUCUAUAGGUUAAAGGCAAUGAACUUCAUCUGCAUGUGAUGUCUUCUGACCUCAUUGUUGAUGGAUGAGUGAAAACACAGUGGCCCAGCAGGUGUGAAAUAUCAGCAUCAGCAGCCAUUAUCCUCAUUGCAACGUCAGUGGAGUAACUAAUAAUCUGCCUUAUUCUCACAUGCCUGGGUGGGAGCAGGCCUUAAAUGUAAUGCUCAAAUAACCCAUCCCUGCUGCCCACUGAUCUGUUAAAUUUCCUACAUGUGUAGAAUCUGACUGUUGUCGGUCUACCGUGGGAAUUCCUGGGAACUCCCAAUGUUCUUGAGGGGCUAUAUCCAACUUGGGCAACAAUUUUAACGUCACUGGACGAGAGAAAAACAGUUGAUAAAAACAAAAUAAAUCAUGUGGGUGGGCCUCCAUCAUUUCAUUCUUCUCCCUCCUUUCUCCACCCUAAUAGCCAUUUUUCUCUUUACAGGACUUUUUUUUGUUUUGUUUUUUUUUUGUUUUUUUUUGUUUUUUUUUUUUUUUUUGUUCCUAGAACAAUUGUUAACUUGUAGCGACAGUCAGGGUCUGGAGUGUCCCCUCCUCUCUCAUAGCACCUCGUGGUCUGGAAUCUCCUCAGCACCUUUCGCACACCACAUUAGGUUAACAUAUUUCCCUGUUUUCAAACAGGCAGGCCUUGCUACAUUGUUUUGCUUCUUUGCUCCUCCCUUUUCAGGUGAAGUCUUGCUAUCACAGUCCAGGAUGCCCUAGUACUCUCUAGUCCUCCUGCCUCAGCCUCCCAAGAGCUGGAAUAUCAGGGUGUGCCACUGAAUCAAGGUCAUGACACUCUAUUUUUUUUACAACAAAACCAAACCAGUGAUUGGUUCUCAGAAUAAAGGCGUCACAGCAGCAGGAACACAACUCCUGGAUACUGCAACUCUCGGAACUACGGAUUGGGAGAGUUGCCCUUUAUCAGUCUCCAGAUAAUUCUGAUUAUUCCUUUGUGAAAAACACCUUGGGUAGUUUCCUAUUUUUCUAGAGCUACUUUCGAGCUAUCUCCUUCCUUUAUCUGUCCAAGGUCUCUAUGGAGCAAACCACUAAUUUCCAUUAAUUUCUCAGCUUUGAUUUGUUUAGAAACCCCCACCACUUACCACCAUCACCUCAAAUCCAAGUCACUAGCUAGAGGUUGGUGGCAGGACACACAUUGGAAUUAAAAACACAUGACUUGGAAUAGUAAUCCCAGAUGCUCAGCUUUGAAACGUGAGCAAAGCACUUACCUCCUUAGGCCUCAGUGCCACCAACUGAAAAGUGGGUAAAUACCGCCUCUACUUUAUUAUAGAGACGGAAUAAAAUCAUGGCAUUAGAGUAUCAUGCAUUAUGGAGUAGAAGCUUAAUAAUUGCUGACUUCAAAUGAAACGGCUACACAUAUUUGGUGGAUACUUUAGAAACAGACUUGCUAAGAUUUUGUGGACUGUGGAGUGAGAGUUUUUUUUUUUCUUUUCUAUUUUUUUUUUUGAAAGCUUAUUAAAUGUUCAUUUACUUGUUUUACAUGGAGUUUCAUUCUGUUUGUCCCACCCUCACCCCAGUGGGGUGGGAAGCCUCAAUAUUGUUUGAAAGACAUUUUUAAAAUUAUACAGAAAAUUAGCUGAAACAAUCCAAUGAAGAAUUGCCUGUGCUACUUCAUCAGUUUUACAGAUACAAUGAAUUAAAAUGGAUCAUAAAAGGGAUUCAAUGUGUCCAAAGGAAUCCUAUGGCUUGCGAUGGAACUAGAAUUCAAAAUCACAACUGUGAUUUCUACCAUUUGUAUCAUCAGGAAUUUAAAUAUUAACUAUGUUCAUAUAUAUGUAUGUAUACAUAUAUGUGUAUACACACACACACACACGGUGGUGUACACAUCAUCAGAAAAUUAAAUAUUACACACACACAUGAGGCCAGGCAUGGUGGCAUACACCUUUAAUCCCUGCACCCAAGAGACAGAAGCAGGUGUAACUGUGAAUUUGAGGCCAGCUCCUACAUAAGGAUGAAACUCCUUAUGAUGAGUCAGAGUUGCACAGUGAGGCUGUAUCAAAAAAAAAAAAAAAAAAAAAAAGCACAAAACCACACACACCCACACAUGCACACACACACACACACACUAUUGGGCACCAUCUCAGUUGUGUGUGUCUUGUAUGUCCAGAUGCACACUUGGGUCUCCUGUCUCCUCAGGCAUGUGUGUAAUCUGCUGUACUCCUGUGCACCUUUCCACGUGGCGACACCAAGCAUUCUUGUGCCAUAGGCAUCUUGUGAGAUACUCCUGGGACCAUUUCAGUGGGAUGUGACACAGUUGAAAUAUUGCUAUCCGGCUCUUAUCUGAAGCUUCAAUUGUUACUCAGCUACCUACACUACAAGCCUUCAUUUUUCUUUAUAGCCUUCUGAAAGGUUUCACUGUCAGUGAGAUUAUGGGGUGAUUUCCUAGCUUUUCAGUAUUUUCUUUCCUCUUUGGUAACAUGAUUUUUUUAAUGAGUGUUCUCCCUAGGGAAUUAAUUAUUACCUUGAAGAGUAUAUUCACAUAGUUCCAUCAAAACAACUUAAAAUUAUCAAAACCUUGACAGACACACUGUGUAGCUUUUAAAACUCAAGUCAUCUAUGCAUGGAAUUUUUUUCCCAACUCUAUUGACUCAGAAAUUUUUAUUUGGGGCAAAAGACAUUUUUUUUCUGCCGUUCCCUUAGCUCUCUUACGCUCUCUUUGUUAAGCACAGAAAGUAUUUGUGUGUGUGUGUGUGUGUGUGUGUGUUUAGUUGCUGCUAUCUAGUAGGAACAUGCUAGAGCACACAGACUUUCUUUAGUUCUGAGUGAGCUGACACCUGUAACAUGCCCAUGGCUUCUCAUCACCACACAGCCUAACUUUGUUCAGGUGAGGCACAUUAUCUGUCAACCUGAAGGUUAGUAAUGACUGUUAACUCGACAGGAUCUAGAAUCAACUGGAGACACACCUGUGGGCAUGCUAAGAGGGAGCUCUUUCUGUGUUAACUGAGGUAGGAAGACUCCUCUAACUGUAAGUGGCUCCACAUACACACAUGCAUUUUUGUAUGCCAGGAUGGUCUGUACUUUCAAACUGUAAGCCAAACUAAAGCUUUUUAAAGUUACUUUUGUCAAAUAUUUUGUUACAGCGAUGA